CUGUCUGAUUACCUGGGAGCGUCCAUCACCCUUUUUUUACUGACUUGUCAAAAUCAGCAGUGACGUUCUUGUAUAGAGCCUGGGAAGGGGCGAGAUAGUGCAAAGGAAUGGGAGGAAGAGCUACAGCACCUACGUUUGGUUUUGUGCUUCACAAACCUGAGGGUUUUCUUCUUUUAUGGUAUGUUUUACGUGUUCCUUGUCUCGCUGACUAAGCCCUUCCAGUGAGGAUAUGGAAUUUCCUUCCUGCACAGAAAAAAACUUCCUGUCUCUUGGCAUCUUUUGGAGCAAACAUGCAGGCCCAUUUCUCAAUUGCUCAGCGCAGCUCUUACAGGACCACUUCCUUACUCAGAUAAUGGCCUCAGCCUGCUGGCUAAAUCAUAGCAAGAAGUUUAUGAAUUAUGUUGAGGAUAGAAAUGAGCUUUUGCUAUAAGGAUAGACUUCUGUGUGAUACUUUCUUCAGUGGAUGAGUGGGAUUAUCCUCUACUCCGCUCUCCAGUCACUGAGGAGUCAGCCGUGUGCACCUAAGCCGUUGGUUAUAUUCCCUUGUUUCUUCACAGCUUCUUUUAGGACCUGUGUUCCACUGGACUGCCCCCGAGAAGAAAUAUACAUCUUGGCACAUCAGUUCCAGAAGCUGUAAAAGUGUAAUGAAGUGAAAACAGUACUUGAGUAAAAACACAAAUUCCAGCCUUCUUUCCUCUCCAUUUCCACACCAGACCUAAAUUCCUUGCAAAGGACACACAGAUCUUAUCCUCUCGGGAAAAGAGCCCUGAAGACUGAAACGUUACACACCUUCCCCACUUGUCUGUACCAUCUUCCUUUCACUGCAUCAUCAGUGUCCUGCUGCCCUCCUCACCACUCCCUCCACAAACAUCAGUGUCUCCUUCUAUGAAGAAGCAAGUCUCCCUGCACACGACCUCUGAACAAGAAGAUGCUGCAAUCACAAGUUCCUAAGCCUGUAUUUUUAUAUAUAACCUGCCCGUGCUAGUUUUGACAGGCAAAAGAAACUAAACUGAAAACAAUACUGAAAACUUGGCCACACUCAAUGUGUAUAAUGUAGUGACUUGCAACAACUCUGUGUUACUCAAAUCUUAUUCCAGAAUAGUUACAGAAUGCAAAUGCCCCAGAGAAGUUCCCAGACUUUCCUCCCUCCUAC
ensembl:lncRNA